rnacentral:rRNA from 2 species
CUGCCGGCGCCUUGACGGUACCUGACCAGAAAGCCACGGCUAACUACGUGCCAGCAGCCGCGGUAAUACGUAGGUGGCAAGCGUUGUCCGGAAUUAUUGGGCGUAAAGCGCGCGCAGGCGGUUUCUUAAGUCUGAUGUGAAAGCCCCCGGCUCAACCGGGGAGGGUCAUUGGAAACUGGGAAACUUGAGUGCAGAAGAGGAGAGUGGAAUUCCACGUGUAGCGGUGAAAUGCGUAGAGAUGUGGAGGAACACCAGUGGCGAAGGCGACUCUCUGGUCUGUAACUGACGCUGAGGCGCGAAAGCGUGGGGAGCGAACAGGAUUAGAUACCCUGGUAGUCCACGCCGUAAACGAUGAGUGCUAAGUGUUAGAGGGUUUCCGCCCUUUAGUGCUGCAGCUAACGCAUUAAGCACUCCGCCUGGGGAGUACGGUCGCAAGACUGAAACUCAAAGGAAUUGACGGGGGCCCGCACAAGCGGUGGAGCAUGUGGUUUAAUUCGAAGCAACGCGAAGAACCUUACCAGGUCUUGACAUCCUUUGCCACUUCUAGAGAUAGAAGGUUCCCCUUCGGGGGACAAAGUGACAGGUGGUGCAUGGUUGUCGUCAGCUCGUGUCGUGAGAUGUUGGGUUAAGUCCCGCAACGAGCGCAACCCUUGAUCUUAGUUGCCAGCAUUCAGUUGGGCACUCUAAGGUGACUGCCGGUGACAAACCGGAGGAAGGUGGGGAUGACGUCAAAUCAUCAUGCCCCUUAUGACCUGGGCUACACACGUGCUACAAUGGAUGGUACAAAGGGCUGCGAGACCGCGAGGUUUAGCCAAUCCCAUAAAACCAUUCUCAGUUCGGAUUGCAGGCUGCAACUCGCCUGCAUGA